rnacentral:lncRNA from 1 species
UUGCAAGUCUUUACAACACUCUCUUGGGAGUCUGUAAAUCGCCUGAACUCUCAGAAUAAUAUCUGUAUCAGGGUAUUUAUUCAUCUGUUGUUGGGUCAGGGUCUGCAGGAUGGACCCCUGCAGCUGGUGCCCUGUGUGAGGAUCACUACAAAGGAAGCACGAAGGACCCCCUGAAAAUGAAGGGAACUGCAGCAUGGGAUGCAACAUUCUUGGAAGAACUGAGAAGAGUACUCACUCAAAUUACCUUCUGUGUGGUUUCUAUGGUUUCUCCACACUGGUUGAGAAAGUUCUGAAAACCGCAAUCCAGAGGAUGGAAUAGUAGGAAGUCAGAUCCUGAGAGUCCUGGGGACCCUGAGGAACAAGCUUGCUCACAUCUGUGUUUUGUGAGCAGGAAAGGCUGAACACGAAGGCCCUGGGCCGAGCUGCAGAAGUCUCUCCUCUAAGAUCUGUUGGCAGAGGUAACAGUGACUGGUUAAAACAUAAAACAGAAGACUUAUUCUUCCAAAAAAUGUUUAGGGGCCCCAAUCUCAUUUGUUAGGAAAGUGCAACAGGAGAGCUGCUAUCGUUGAGAUCACACUUGCUCUGACUUGUCAAGAGUUACUUCUUGUGUCUUCGUCCCGCCAAGUAACAGGCUCAGCUAUCAUAACCUCUAAUCCCUUGGAUCCAGCUGCCCUUCAGACUGUCAGAGCCUGAGCCACGUAGCUCCCAUGCACAGCAAGCCUCUUUCAGAUCUGAGUGUUGCAAGGAAAUGACAAUGGAAUGAAGGGAUUAAAAGCAAAGACCCUCCACACUCCUCUGAGUAGAACUCAAUAAUUACAAUGAGCUGUGAACUGUUAAAUGUUUGCACUUUAUGCAAAUACAGAGAGAUUUCAAAAGUCUUUUAAAAAUAGGGUUAUUACUUGCCAGCCUUCAACUCUCUGAGUAAGACGAUAUGGGAGUGACGCUAAUGUGCUAGAGGUAGGCAGGGCUCUUGAAGAAGCCUCCAUUCCCAAAAGCACAGUGUAAUGAUGAGCCAGCUCAUGACUGAAGACUUGUCCUGUGAACUUUAUGAACUUCAGGCUGUGGAAACAAACUGGCACCUGCAAAUGGAGUCGUUACACUGAGAAACCAAUGCUGGAAGGGAAGAAAAGGUCACCCAAAUGUUAGAUUGAGUCAGGUGUCCUGGACGUCCGGAGCCUCCUCAUCAUGCAAGAGGACAAAUGGGAGUGCUGUCUUUUUUUUUCUUUUUUAAUUGGACCCACUGAAUGGAAGGAGUGCUGCCUUUACAGUAUGACUCCCUUCACCUUAACUCAGACCGUGGGGCAGGGCCAAAAGGUACAAUGAUCAUCAAUAUUGUUUUCUUUCAUGGGGAGUUAACUGGUGGUCUACUACUGAUGUAAACACUUAUAUGAAUUGUCUCUAAGGACAUUUUUCUUUUAAUUGUUUCUUUGUCAGGCAAGGACAUGUUUUUGUUUUAGGGAAGAAGAAUCUAAAAUAUAAUAUACCCUGUGAUGAUGGUAUGCUAUAGAAACACAUUUCAAAUAAACUUUGCAGGUUGGGCACAAGGGCUUAUGCCUGUAAUCCCAGCACUUUGGGAGGCUGAGGCAGGAGGAUCACUUGAGCUCAGGAUUCAAGACCAACCUGGGCAACGUAGGCAGAAGCAGUCUCUAAAAAACCAAAAAAUUAGUCGGGUGUGGUGGUAUACACCUGUGACCCCAGAUACUGGGGAGGUUGAGUGGAAAGAUUGCUCGAGCCUGAGAGGUCAAGGCUGCAGUGAACUGUGAUUGCACCACUGCACUCCAGUCUGGGCAACAGAGAGAGACCCUGUCUCUAGAUACAUAAACCUUCCCCCCAAAGAGAUAAAAACUGUGCUGUCAGAAAGGAAACAAGUCUGCUUUAUGUUUUUAUGUUUUUGUGCCCAGAGUAGUCCCCUCCAUACACACAGUAGGACUCAACAAAUCUUUGUCAUCAAUGUUGAUAAUGAAAAGUCUUGAUCUGGCCCAGUGUGGUUGUUCAUACCUGUAAUCCCAGCACUUUGGGAGGCCAGGGUGGGAGGUUGCUUGAGGCCAGGAGUUUGAGACCAGCUUGGGCAAUAUAGCAAGAUCCUGGACAAUAUAGUUAGACCUCUCUGUCUCUACCCCAAACAAAGUGGGGGCAGGGGGGGCUUGAUUAAAAAAAGAAAAAUUGUCCUGGGCUUUCUGAAGUAAUGGCUAGGGAAUGAAAACAUACAUGCUUUGACUUUACAUUAUCUCAUGAGGCGUUAACCCAGCUGUCCUUUCCCAAACAGCUGUGAAAAAAAUGUCUCAAAACAAUUGUGUGUUCUUUAGACUAUUUUUCCCAUUUCAUCCCAUCUCCAUUCUCAAGCAUUUACAAAUACUGCUUAAGUUUCUAUUCCUUGCUAGUUGUAUGAUGUUGAGAAAAGUGAAUAAUUUCCUUAAAUUUUAUUUCCACAUCUGUGAAAUAGGAAUGAUAAUAAUGAUACCUACCUCACAGGGGUGUUUUGAAAAGUAAAUGAGUUAUUGCCUGUGAAUGUUUUCAGCCGAAUUCUCAGUGUACUGUAGCUAUUCAUAGGAUUAUCGGAUUUUAAAAAUAUGCAAAAAUGGCAGUUAAGCUUUACUGGUGAUAUUAUA